CUUGAAUUCGGGAUAGCAAGAGGCAAGAAAAAAUACGACAAAAAAGAAAUAAGCGCCAACUUAUUUAACAAACCUGCGUUAGCAUACGUUUAACGCCAUCUUCACCGCUAACUCCCAAUAGGCGGAUGAAGGUGUCAUAUUAUUGGGAUAGAUGAUUUUUCGCCCCUAAAAUCAUUGAGGCAAUGGGGAUAAGAUAAUUAAUUUUUUUUCUGCUUCAUAUUUAAUUAUCCGAAAAUAAAAACAGAAUAAACUUGUAGAAUUAUUUUAGCCGAUCUUUUGGACGGGGCUUCAACGCCCCCA
rnacentral:tmRNA from 1 species